rnacentral:rRNA from 1 species
GACAGAGGUUGCAAGCGUUGUUCGGAAUUACUGGGCAUAAAGCGCACGUAGGCGGUCCGCUAAGUCAUGCGUGAAAUCCCCCGGCUCAACCGGGGAAUGGCGCCUGAUACUGGCGGGCUUGAGAUCGGUAGGGGUGAGUGGAACUCCAGGUGGAGCGGUGAAAUGCGUAGAUAUCUGGAGGAACACCGGUGGCGAAAGCGACUCACUGGACCGACACUGACGCUGAGGUGCGAAAGCUAGGGUAGCAAACGGG